UUAGCUGCAAACCUGGCAACCCUCAGUGUGCAGCUAAAGCACCACCGCUCUCCUCUUUCUCUCCCUUUCCAGAUCUUUCUGCCCUCCACAUCUCCACGGUUCUCCAUCGAUCGAGGGACGCAGAGACCGAAUCCAACACGGCGCCUAACAUCAAGACGACCACGACGACCACGCUCACAUCGGUCUCCAGUAGCUCAGCAGUCUGAGAAACCAGCCUGUAGUUCAGUACAGUUUACCAUGUCCUCAUGUGAAAAACAUCAUGAAGCAUUAAAGCACUUAGAAAGAUCUUUGCAGGAAACAUGAGAAGAUUUAAAGCAGCAGAGAUAAUGUGGAGCCGGGAGAGCUUACAAAAGGAUUCAAAUGAUGCAUUAUGAUGCGUUUUUAAUCUGAAGCAAUAACCAGUGACAGAAAAUAAACACUCCACAUAUGAUGCAAGUGUUGUCAUGGUUUUUAACUUUUCAUUAUGAAAAUGUAACGCAUUUCAACAUUCUUAAAAGAUAAGUUCACUGUAAAUGUU